UAUUUCAGGUUCUGAAUGUUGUGGCAGGAAGUUUGGCGAGUGGUCUGAAUGGGCUCUUACAGUAUGUCACGCACUUCCUGCAGGCUACUGGAAUCCAAGACAAAAGGAAAACAACAGGGAAAUGAAGGGACAGUCAACAAGAGAGGGCUAUAAGCAGCAAACAGCUGUUUCUACACGCCUCCCACUGCUGAUUUUAACAGAGAAUGGGUUCCAAAAAUAUGUACAUUAGGUCUCAAGAGUCAGGACCUAGCAAAGUGGGCAACUGCCCCAGAGCCCUACACCCCAGUGGACCCUAAAAUCCCUG